rnacentral:rRNA from 1 species
GGGUCAGUAGGUUGGUCGUGCCACCGGUACGUACUGGUCUCACUGAUUCCUCCUUCCUGAAGUACCGUAAUGCCAUUAAUUUGGUGUUGCGGGGAAACAGGACUGUUACUUUGAAAAAAUUAGAGUGCUUAUAGCAAGCUAACGCUUGAAUACAUUAGCAUGGAAUAAUGAAAUAGGACGAUCGAUCCUAUUUUGUUGGUUUCUAGGAUUGACGUA